GUUGAACCGAAUCUACACAUCUCUCUCGAUCCACCAUGAUUUUUCUGCUAUCGCGCUCAUCCGGGUGUUAGACAUCCUCAGUCUGUCCAGAACUGUCCCUAUGGAAGGAUGUACUGAAGUAAGGUGUGGUUUCUUGUGCGACGUUCUUUGUUCAUUUACGUUUUGUGCCGGGUUCCUUCUUGCUCAGUAAUGGAAUGAUUUAUCCUAGCAAAUUGUUGAGUUACAGGUGUGUGCGCUAUUUAUCAACGACUGCUAGCCAACAACGACCUGCUAGCCUCGUCAACAAUCUUCGAAGUGAGCGACGGAAAGAAAACGUUUUCCAGUUUUAAAAUAUUAAGCCCCCGGUGAGGACGUCAUUACUUAACAGAAGCCGGUUCAACACGCGCAGCUCCUGUUCAUGACGUCAUCACUAAACUGAAGCCAGCUGAACACGCGCAGCACGGAUGGUACCCCGAGCGCGGUAGGAGGAAGGAAGAACGAGAGGAGGAAGAACGGUAAAUUUGGAAGGGGGAAAGCGUUCUGCCGUCUACACAGCGGGAGUAUGCCAAAACACAUGUGGGAAGGGAGAGGGAUAUUAUUCAAUAAACA